GAGAAGGAGCACGUCAACUCCCUCCACCCCGGCUCCCCGGGCCAGGCGGUGUCAGCCCCGGGAUGGACUGAGCAUGCGGACGCCUUACCUUCUACUCAACUGAUAGUCAGGGAAGCGGUAAAACAUGUGUGACAAAAAAAGAAGCUGAGUAAAAAGAAGAGCGAGAUGGCAGGACAGCCCAUUUUGGAGAGGGCGGUCAGGGCAGGUCUCUCGGAAGCUGGGAUCCAAGAUGCCUCAGAUGGACUCGGUAGAAAUGGUGUCAAAGGCCCAGGAUACGAGGCAGCUUCCUUCCCUGCUUGCUCAGCCACCAGCUUCCUGGCCGUCCCGACCCGAGUCCUGCUC